UUUAACGAGAGUUUGAUCCUGGCUCAGGAUGAACGCUGGCGGCGUGCUUAACACAUGCAAGUCGAGCGAAGCACUUUUUUAGAACGCUUCGGAGGGAAGAGAGGGUGACUUAGCGGCGGACGGGUGAGUAACGCGUGGGCAACCUGCCUUACACAGGGGGAUAACAAUUAGAAAUGAUUGCUAAUACCGCAUAAGACCCCAGUACCGCAUGGUACAGAGGUAAAAACUGAGGUGGUGUAAGAUGGGCCCGCGUCUGAUUAGGUAGUUGGUGGGGUAGAAGCCUACCAAGCCGACGAUCAGUAGCCGACCUGAGAGGGCGACCGGCCACAUUGGGACUGAGACACGGCCCAAACUCCUACGGGAGGCAGCAGUGGGGAAUAUUGCACAAUGGGGGAAACCCUGAUGCAGCGACGCCGCGUGAGUGAGGAAGUAUUUCGGUAUGUAAAGCUCUAUCAGCAGGGAAGAAAAUGACGGUACCUGACUAAGAAGCCCCGGCUAACUACGUGCCAGCAGCCGCGGUAAUACGUAGGGGGCAAGCGUUAUCCGGAUUUACUGGGUGUAAAGGGAGCGUAGACGGAUAAGCAAGUCUGAUGUGAAAAUCCGGGGCCCAACCCCGGAAUUGCAUUGGAAACUGCAUAUCUAGAGUGUCGGAGAGGCAAGUGGAAUUCCUGGUGUAGCGGUGAAAUGCGUAGAUAUCAGGAGGAACACCAGUGGCGAAGGCGGCUUGCUGGACGAUGACUGACGUUGAGGCUCGAAAGCGUGGGGAGCAAACAGGAUUAGAUACCCUGGUAGUCCACGCCGUAAACGAUGACUACUAGGUGUCGGGAGGCAAAGCCUUUCGGUGCCGCAGCCAACGCAAUAAGUAGUCCACCUGGGGAGUACGUUCGCAAGAAUGAAACUCAAAGGAAUUGACGGGGGGGACUGCCAGGGACAACYUGGAGGAAGGUGGGGAUGACGUCAAAUCAUCAUGCCCCUUAUGGCCAGGGCUACACACGUGCUACAAUGGCGUAAACAAAGAGAAGCGACCACGCGAGUGUGAGCGAAUCUCAAAAAUAACGUCUCAGUUCGGAUUGUAGUCUGCAACUCGACUACAUGAAGCUGGAAUCGCUAGUAAUCGCAGAUCAGAAUGCUGCGGUGAAUACGUUCCCGGGUCUUGUACACACCGCCCGUCACACCAUGGGAGUCAGUAACGCCCGAAGCCGGUGACCCAACCUAAGCAGGAGGGAGCCGUCGAAGGCGGGACGGAUGACUGGGGUGAAGUCGUAACAAGGUAGCCGUAUCGGAAGGUGCGGCUGGAUCACCUCCUUUCUAAGGAA
rnacentral:rRNA from 1 species